rnacentral:rRNA from 1 species
AUACGUAGGUGGCAAGCGUUGUCCGGAAUUAUUGGGCGUAAAGCGCGCGCAGGCGGUCCUUUAAGUCUGAUGUGAAAGCCCACGGCUCAACCGUGGAGGGUCAUUGGAAACUGGGGGACUUGAGUGCAGAAGAGGAAAGUGGAAUUCCAAGUGUAGCGGUGAAAUGCGUAGAGAUUUGGAGGAACACCAGUGGCGAAGGCGACUUUCUGGUCUGUAACUGACGCUGAGGCGCGAAAGCGUGGGGAGAAAACAGGAUUAGAUACCCUGGCAGUCCACGCCGUAAACGAUGAGUGCUAAGUGUUAGGGGGUUUCCGCCCCUUAGUGCUGCAGCUAACGCAUUAAGCACUCCGCCUGGGGAGUACGGUCGCAAGACUGAAACUCAAAUGAAUUGACGGGG